CUUCACCACGACCAACAACAACAACAACAACAACAUCAACGUCAGGAGAAAGACGGCGAGCGGAGAGCGAGGUGAAGCUACGUCCCUCGACUAUGUGUGCGUGAUGCUAACAGGAGCGCGGCGAAUGCGAAUGGCGCUAUUGGCUGAUUCGAUAACGGAGAGAAGACGCCGUCGCCGAAGCUUGUGGAGCAUCAGCUGUAAGAUGCCUGGGUGAGCUCAUGACGCUAACGUGCUCAGCCAGACACGCCUGUUAGCAGAAGAACCGAGAGAAAUCGCUCACUUCCUGUUGGGAAGCUGUGGAUCCCAACUGGUCAGUGGAAGCGGCCACACUGGCAUCGAACCUGCCACAGCCAGGUGGUCGUGCCAACAACCGUGGACAGAGGAUCAGAGCCGCCCUCAGAUUACCUGAGUGCAAACCUGCCCCGCGCAGACCUUUAGACGUCUUCAGGACACAACUGCCAGCUGGUCAUAGGUUAGUGGGAAGAUCUACACGUUUCUCAAAGGCUAAGGGCUAGCUAGCAAGUGGCACCCAUGUUAGCUUGGAAAGCUACGGUUAUCAAGUGGGACCCGGGUUAGCCUUACGUUUCAUCAUUGUUACAUUGUUUUCAUCGUCGAUUUAAUUCCUCGCUAGUUAUGUGAAGGUACACAUGUUUCAACACAUAUUAGCACUGCUAACACGUCUCACAAACAGCAUCAGCUAGCAUCUGCUACCUAGCACUUGUUUUAGUGUGAUGCAACUGAAAUGAACUUACCCAUGGUAGUUGGCAACCGAACACCGGAAUCUACGCCGUUGUGCUCUACUAGGGACUCUUGUGUCGUCCAUUGGGUUGUUUGUUUGUUUUCUGCCGGUGUGAGAUGCUCGUAGUGGUGAAAAGAUUCUGUAAACAAUUGUCUUGUGCUAAAAGCCAAGUCGCAGUGGUUGACCCUGAGAUGGAGAGAGAAAGA